rnacentral:rRNA from 1 species
UAGGUGUCCCGAGCCGCAAGGCUCCUAAAGACCCCUCGUAGACUACGAGGUUGAUAGGCCGGGUGUGGAAGCGGAGUAAUUCGCGGAGCUAACCGGUACUAAUCGGUCGUGCGGCUUGACCAUACCUCU